rnacentral:rRNA from 1 species
UCCGUAGGUGAACCUGCGGAAGGAUCAUUACUGAAAUGUAACAACUUCUAUUGAAAGGUUCCAGAGUAGGCGCUACGACGCCGAAAUGACCUUCUCACCCUUGUGUACUCACUAUGUUGCUUUGGCGGGUCGACCUGGUUCCGACCCAGGCGGCCGGCGCCCCCAGCCUUAACUGGCCAGGACGCCCGGCUAAGUGCCCGCCAGUAUACAAAACUCAAGAAUUCAUUUUGUGGAGUCCUGAUAUAUCAUUUAAUUGAUUAAAACUUUCAACAACGGAUCUCUUGGUUCUGGCAUCGAUGAAGAACGCAGCGAAAUGCGAUAAGUAAUGUGAAUUGCAGAAUUCAGUGAAUCAUCGAAUCUUUGAACGCACAUUGCGCCCUCUGGUAUUCCGGAGGGCAUGCCUGUUCGAGCGUCAUUUCAACCCUCAAGCUCUGCUUGGUAUUGGGCAACGUCCGCUGCCGGACGUGCCUUGAAGACCUCGGCGACGGCGUCCUAGCCUCGAGCGUAGUAGUAAAAUAUCUCGCUUUGGAGUGCUGGGCGACGGCCGCCGGACAAUCGACCUUCGGUCUAUUUUUCCAAGGUUGACCUCGGAUCAGGUAGGGAUACCCGCUGAACUUAAGCAUAUCAAUAAGCGGAGGA